GCCGGGCGCCGUGGCACAUGCCCUGUAGCCCCAGCUAUUCGGGAGGCUGAGGCUGGAGGAUCUCCUGAGUCCAAGAGUUCUGGGCUGUAGUGCGGUAUGCCAAUCGGGUGUCCACACUAAGUUCGGCAUCAAUAUGGUGACCUCCCGGGAGCGGGGGACCACCAGGUUGCCUAAGGAGGGGUGAAUCAGCCCAGGUCGGAAACAGAGCAGGUCAAAACUCCUGUGCUGAUCAGGAAUAAAUUUAACAAGGUACCAAACUUAGACUCUGAAAACUGU
rnacentral:SRP_RNA from 1 species